ensembl:miRNA cin-mir-4089 cin-mir-4089
CUUGGAAAUGCAUGUGCUUUGCAUGACGAUUUUUAAUGACAGCAACAGCACAUGCGCAUUUGAA